rnacentral:rRNA from 1 species
AUGACGCUUCCAUCCCCAAGGGCCCCCGGCCAUAGCGGCCGUGUCCACAUCCACUACCCUCGCCGACCCGGCCUCUUCACCUCGCCAUGGCGCUCCCCCUACCCCUGCGCUCCUGACUGCCCGCCUUCGCGCCCCCUCCCUGCCUGGACUUGCCACCUCGCCGUCACCAGCACAAAUGAGCAGGAGGCAAAUGAGGACUUUGUGGUGGUCACGUACAAGUUGGUGCCCGUCGACGACCCCCACGCACAACUCCACUUCCUGCAGCCGAAUCAGACGAAGUGGCUGGUCCUGCGAGUGGCAGCGGUGGUCGCCUAUGUGGCGCAGGUGGGCAGCGGUGGUCGCCCUCAUGGCAGCAGCGCAGGUGGGCGGUGGCGCUGGGCCCGAGGGUGGAUGCGCUGGUCGCUCCCGUGGGCGGUGGUAGGCAAGGUACGUAGGUGGGCGACGGUGAUCGAGCUGCGCGGGUGGCCGGCGUUGGUCGCCUCCAUGGCGGCGGUGCAGGCGGGCGGCGGCGUUGGACCCCAAUGGUGGCUCGCGCGGGCGGCGGGGUUGUCUAAUGACCUGCAGAACAGAUCUCGAUGCUUGCCUGGGCGGCUCAGAUUUCGGGUUCACCUGGACCUGAGAGCCAAAACGCCCCGCUGCAUUGUUAAAUUCCACAGGGGAAAUGAUAGUACGUACGUAGAAAUGGCAUCAUGGUGA